UCAGUGGCUAUGUCACAGCCUCAUCACAGACCUGAAAAUGGUGGGCAUGAGAGGCAGACGUGUAAUUUCCUCUUUACUACCGCCAGUCAUGUGAUUACAGCCGAGCUCAGGAGGGCCGGGUGAGCAUUGCAGAAAGGCUGUAGCUAGAUAGGAUCCCUAGAGCCAGAGCAGGGUUGGGGAGUGCAACUCUAGGAAAAGCUUCAUUUUCCACACCCACUCCACUCCCAAACAUAAGCUGAAGGUCCCAGUGAACUCCGUUAAAGAAGAAUGAAAAGUCUGAUGCAGCUAUUUAAAAACAGGCAGGCGUCAAGUGGCCAAUGGCAGUCGAGUGCAGCCGGGGCAGCGCUCGGGAAAAUCAUCCACCACCGUCAGCCCUGGAGAGGCAGACCUGGGGUUCCCCGCAGAAGCGGGUGCGGGUCCAUGUAGGCUACCCCGUCAUCUUUGUGCCACGGAGCUAGUUCAUCACGGGGCCUUGCUGAUUCCUUCCCCAGCACGCCUCAACAAUCCCGCUGCUCUCCUGAGACCCAAGCCCUUUCACUCUUUGCUUAGAAGUCCAGCUUUGUUUCCAAACUGUUUUCCCUUUCUCUUCUCCCUACAGCCUCCCUUGACAGGGCAGCUUUAGUGUCCGUGCUUCCCAGAACCAGUGCUGCAUGCUCACCUGCUGGACUCCCCCAGGAUGUAUAGACAUCUCAUAAGAGUGGGGGCUGCCUCUGGGAAGGGACUGGAAAAAGGCUAAGGGGAAGGAGCUCGGGGGCUGGCAAGCCCGGAUGCGACAAAGCACCGAGGUGGGCUUGAAUAUGGAUUUUUCUCCCCAGAACAUCCCUGGGAAUCAUUUCUGUCAGAUGCUUCACUGGAUGUCCCUUGGUCUUUACAGCCAUCUAUCCUCCUUCUCCAACCCCCACCUCGAAUUGCAACUUGCUAUU
rnacentral:lncRNA from 1 species